rnacentral:rRNA from 1 species
CAGGCCUAACACAUGCAAGUCGAACGGAGCCGCAAGGCUUAGUGGCAAACGGGUGCGUAACGCGUAAGCAACCUGCCCUCAACUGGGGGAUAGCCCGGCGAAAGCUGGGGUAACCCCGCACGGUCCCAAGAGGUCACCUGGUUUUUUGGGUAAACAUUCAUGGGUUGAGGAGGGGCUUGCGUCUGAUUAGCUAGUUGGUGGGGUAACGGCUCACCAAGGCGAUGAUCAGUAGGGGUUCUGAGAGGAUUGGCCCCCACAUGGGUACUGAGAUACGGACCCAACUCCUACGGGAGGCAGCAGUAGGGAAUAUUGGGCAAUGGAGGCAACUCUGACCCAGCCAUGCCGCGUGCAGGAUGAAGGCGCUCAGCGUUGUAAACUGCUUUUACUCAUGAAGAACUGUAUUCCUGCGGGGGUAUUUGACGGUAAUGAGGGAAUAAGCACCGGCUAACUCCGUGCCAGCAGCCGCGGUAAU